UCUUCGAAGGUCUGGCCCAAAGCGUCAUGUCGUGAAAGUUAUCGUUUUUUCGUUCGCAAACUUAAUAGAACGAUGUUAAUUUCCCAACUAGUCGUAGAAAACAGAAGAGAUGGUUAGUCACCGUAAGGAGCGACUGUGCAUACCCAAGUGCCAGAUCAAGAACGGCAACGCGAAACUUGCGAAGAUACCAUGUGCUUCGUGAUCUGCGUUGAAAUGGCUGAAGAUGCAAAACGAAGUAAACUGGACGCUCUCGGCAGUUGGCAAAGGUACAUGGUGCUGUGGAAGGGGACAGUGCCCUAAAUAAAUCAUAUGGAAAAUGGCUCAUUAAAACUAAAAGUUUUAGCAAUUCAAAAUCUCAGUGAUGUUAUGAUUAUUGUAAAUAUUAUGUAUUAUUAUUAUUAUUAUUAACAUUUAUUUGCCAUUGUAAAAGAAAACAAUUAAAAUGUAUGUGCACAGCUUAAAUAAGGUUCAAAUCCAUUUAUAAAUAGCUUUACAAUUGUUAACAUCACUUUGUGUACUUUGUUGAGAAAUGAUGGGUUCUUGUGUGAUACAGU